rnacentral:rRNA from 1 species
GACGAACGCUGGCGGCGUGCUUAGCACAUGCAAGUCGAACGGAAAGGCCCUGCUUUUGUGGGGUGCUCGAGUGGCGAACGGGUGAGUAACACGUGAGUAACCUGCCCUUGACUUUGGGAUAACUUCAGGAAACUGGGGCUAAUACCGGAUAGGAGCUCCUGCUGCAUGGUGGGGGUUGGAAAGUUUCGGCGGUUGGGGAUGGACUCGCGGCUUAUCAGCUUGUUGGUGGGGUAGUGGCUUACCAAGGCUUUGACGGGUAGCCGGCCUGAGAGGGUGACCGGCCACAUUGGGACUGGGAUACGGCCCAGACUCCUACGGGAGGCAGCAGUGGGGAAUAUUGCACAAUGGGCGGAAGCCUGAUGCAGCAACGCCGCGUGCGGGAUGACGGCCUUCGGGUUGUAAACCGCUUUCGCCUGUGACGAAGCGUGAGUGACGGUAAUGGGUAAAGAAGCACCGGCUAACUACGUG